rnacentral:rRNA from 1 species
AACGAACGCUGGCGGCAUGCCUAACACAUGCAAGUCGAACGAUGCCUUUGGGCAUAGUGGCGCACGGGUGCGUAACGCGUGGGAAUCUGCCUUUCGGUUCGGAAUAACUCAGGGAAACUUGAGCUAAUACCGGAUAACGUCGCAAGACCAAAGAUUUAUCACCGAAAGAUGAGCCCGCGUAGGAUUAGCUAGUUGGUGAGGUAAAGGCUCACCAAGGCGACGAUCCUUAGCUGGUCUGAGAGGAUGAUCAGCCACACUGGGACUGAGACACGGCCCAGACUCCUACGGGAGGCAGCAGUGGGGAAUAUUGGACAAUGGGCGAAAGCCUGAUCCAGCAAUGCCGCGUGAGUGAUGAAGGCCUUAGGGUUGUAAAGCUCUUUUACCCGGGAAGAUAAUGACGGUACCGGGAGAAUAAGCCCCGGCUAACUCCGUG